rnacentral:rRNA from 1 species
GACGAACGCUGGCGGCGUGCUUAACACAUGCAAGUCGAACGGUAAGGCUCCAGCUUGCUGGGGUACACGAGUGGCGAACGGGUGAGUAACACGUGGGUGACCUGCCCUGCACUUCGGGAUAAGCCUGGGAAACUGGGUCUAAUACCGGAUAGGACCGCACUGUGAGGGUGUGGUGGAAAGUUUUUUCGGUGUGGGAUGGGCCCGCGGCCUAUCAGCUUGUUGGUGGGGUAAUGGCCUACCAAGGCGGCGACGGGUAGCCGGCCUGAGAGGGUGGACGGCCACAUUGGGACUGAGACACGGCCCAGACUCCUACGGGAGGCAGCAGUGGGGAAUAUUGCACAAUGGGCGGAAGCCUGAUGCAGCGACGCCGCGUGGGGGAUGACGGCCUUCGGGUUGUAAACUCCUUUCACCAUCGACGAAGGGUUUCUGACGUAGAUGAGAAGAAGCACCGCA